CCCCUCUCAGGGUGGCACCUGAAGAGUUUCCAGCACUCUACCAGUCUCAGCUAUGGGAGGGAGAGUCAAGCAGAGGCCUAUUCCAUUCCUAGCAUGGGCAGUGGCUAGCAAGUGGAAGACAAUCUGCAACAAGU